rnacentral:pre_miRNA from 1 species
CUUAUACUCCCUCCGUCCCAAAAUUCUUGUCUUAGAUUUAUCUAGAUAUGAAUGUAUCUAGUCACAUUUUAGUAUUUAGAUACAUCCAUUCCUAGACAAACCUAAGACAAGAAUUUUGGGACGGAGGGAGUACUAA